rnacentral:rRNA from 1 species
UGCCCGGUAGCUAAAUGCGGAAGAGAUAAGUGCUGAAAGCAUCUAAGCACGAAACUUGCCCCGAGAUGAGUUCUCCCUGAGACUUUAAGUCUCCUGAAGGAACGUUAAAGACGAUGACGUUGAUAGGCCGGGUGUGUAAGCGCAGCGAUGCGUUGAGCUAACCGGUACUAAUGAACCGUGAGGCUUAACCUUACAACGCCGAAGCUGUU